rnacentral:tRNA from 1 species
GCAUUCGUAGUGCAACGGUAGCACACUUGGCGUGCAUUCUAGAGGUCCGGGUUCGAGUCCCGGCAAGGGCA